GACGUAGGGGACGAGCGUUGUCCGGAUUCAUUGGGCGUAAAGCGCGCGUAGGCGGAUCGAUCAGUCAGGGGUGAAAUCCCAGGGCUCAACCCUGGAACUGCCUUUGAUACUGUCGAUCUGGAGUAUGGAAGAGGUGAGUGGAAUUCCGAGUGUAGAGGUGAAAUUCGUAGAUAUUCGCAAGAACACCAGUGGCGAAGGCGGCUCACUGGCCCGAUACUGACGCUGAGGCACGAAAGCGUGGGGAGCAAACAGG
rnacentral:rRNA from 1 species